rnacentral:rRNA from 1 species
UACGUAGGGUGCGAGCGUUGUCCGGAAUUACUGGGCGUAAAGAGCUCGUAGGUGGUUUGUCGCGUUGUUCGUGAAAACUCACAGCUUAACUGUGGGCGUGCGGGCGAUACGGGCAGACUGGAGUACUGCAGGGGAGACUGGAGUUCCUGGUGUAGCGGUGGAAUGCGCAGAUAUCAGGAGGAACACCGGUGGCGAAGGCGGGUCUCUGGGCCGUAACUGACGCUGAGGAGCGAAAGCGUGGGGAGCGAACAGG